UUGUACCAUCUUGUUCUCGAUCUCACUUUCUCUCUAUAUAUAUGUUUUUUAUUUUUUUUAUUUUUAAAGCCAUGCCUCGUUUUCCGAUCACCGCUACCCCUUUUCCGAUUAAUUUGAGUCCUAUAACGCAUGUCAGGGCUCUGCCCGACUAAGUUCGUUAGGAUUCUGUCUCGGGACAUCGGGACAAGGUUGAUUUAGGGGUACUAUACUUACCAUGAGUGCAUUAUAUAUUUUUAAAAUAGCUCAGAAGUUAUACCCAAAAUUCUACCAGUAAGUUUUCUAGUUGAACCCUAAAGUUACACAGUGGGUCCAUUCCUUUUUCUCACCAUUUUAUUCUCUUUUUGUGAGUUACCUAAAACUAUUAUUUAUUAUUUAUUAUUUCUAUUUUGUAAACAAACUUUCAUCAAAAGUCAUGCCUAUUAUUUUAUUUACCCAAUAGGGAACCAUAGUUGAGACACCCAAGUAAUCCCGCACAACUCCUAAAAUUUUCAUAGCAAUUAGAAUCAGGAUCAGGGCCCCUAAAACUCAAAGGGGGCAAUUCCCAUUCGAUAUUAUCUUCAAAAAUCUGUUGUCAAAAUUGAAUUUAGUCGUACAGUCGACUCAGCAAGCCUACCCCUAAACGUGUCCACCCUAGGCUAGAAAAUAGACCCGUCGCGCCACGCGAUGGGUGCACAUGUUCUUGUCGCGACACGCGAGAGGGACGAUUUUCCAGCUAUAAAUAGAGGGCAGUGGGACUUGCAAUUGUGCGUUGGUUCGACAAUCAAAUUCAAAUUAUACUCCGAGUUAUAAUAGAAACAAUCUCCAAAUCACUAAUCAGUAUAGCGGGGUACUGCUACGAUGCCGGGUAAUUACUCGAUCACUAUUACGAUUCAGUUUCCGGGAUCAAUAUAUCCAAAGAAUGUCUAAGUGCCGCCCACAUUGGGUUAUACUUUGUCGUUUGUCGAUAAUUCGAUAAAUGAGUUGAAGUAUUAUACUUUGUCGUUUGUCGUUAAUUCGAUAAAUGAGUUGAAGUAUCGCACUUUGUCAUUCGUUGUGAGAAUUUGAUCUCGUGAGUUAUCGUAAAAGCUGUAUUGAUCAUUAACCCGGUUUUGUGUGCAUCAUUUCCUAAAUUAGGAUUAUUAGUCUUAAUACACUUACAAUCAAAGUAGAUGCUAAUUCUCAGAAGAAUCUGAACCAUGAAGCUUGUUAAUUCAAAUACUGCAUGCUGAUUUUGUCAAGGUUUGUGAAGUUGGGAACUGCUAACUUGAUUGAAGAUUUAAGGCUUUUUGGAGCCCAUGUUGUGUUUUUGAUUCUUUGAAGUUGAACAUUGAGGUUUGAGGUUUUGUUUUUGUUUUUGUUUUGGUAGUUGUAAAUAUGGCUUGUAUAAAGUUGGGAUUGAAAGAUGAUGCAUUUCAGAAACAAAACCAAGCUUGCUAUGUUCUUUAAUCAUUGAAAUUCUAUCAAUAUUUUU
rnacentral:lncRNA from 1 species